rnacentral:lncRNA from 1 species
CUUCCCCUUAUCAUAGAACCAAAAACUAACCAUGAUACAAGGGCCUGCCUCUCAGUACGUGAAAACGGAAGUGAAACUCUUUCACUGUCUUACUUUGGCCCCUCUCUAGCCAAAUCAAAAAAUUUGAACAACCCCCGAGACACCAAACAAAUUCCCUAGAACUCACGCAUAUACCAUGUCAGCCUCCACCUUCAGAUCCUUACUGUCCAUCUUUAUCAGCCAACUCCCCCGUUUCCAAAAACCUUAUCCACCACUAAGAAAAGGUGCCUUAGCGGCUAUGCUUCUCCAGUGCCCGACCAUAGACGUCGCUCUCCCCCGGAUGUUGUAAUUCUUCUAGUCUUUCAUUUUCUUCCCCGCAAAUGAAGAGAACAAGUCCUAGUAGGAGAAGAAAGAGGUCGAGUCCCUCGAUCCACCCCUCUAGCCACUCCAGGUUUGGAAAA